rnacentral:lncRNA from 1 species
GGGGCGCGCGGAGGUAGUAAUAGGGGAGUGCUCCUUUGGGUCUGGAGUUUCUGGUUCGUAGUGUUGUAGCUGUAGUUUGGGGCUAGUGGUGUUGGCUUUUUUGCAUCCCGUACUAGUUUAUUAUACAAUUAUUUUUGUGUUUGUUAUACUGUUAGUUUGUUUUGUGUACCAUACUAGUUUAUAUGCGCUUACUUUUUAUAUUUAUUAUACUGUUAUUGAUCCUAAGCUGGGG